GAAUCUUGCGCAAUGGGAGCAAUCCUGACGCAGCAACGCCGCGUGGGUGAUGAAGGUCUUCGGAUCGUAAAGCCCUGUCGGAGGGGAAGAUGCUUGUGCAUGCUAAUAGUAUGCGCAGGUGACGGUACCCUCAAAGGAAGCACCGGCUAACUCUGUGCCAGCAGCCGCGGUAAUACAGAGGGUGCAAGCGUUAAUCGGAAUUAUUGGGCGUAAAGGGCAUGUAGGUGGCGAUUUAAGUCUGAUGUGAAAGCCCUGGGCUUAACCUGGGAAUUGCGUUGGAAACUGGAUAGCUAGAGUCGGACAGAGGGCCGUGGAAUUUCCGGUGUAGCAGUGAAAUGCGUAGAGAUCGGAAAGAACACCCGUGGCGAAGGCGGCGGCCUGGGACCAGACUGACACUGAGGUGCGAAAGCAUGGGGAGCAAACAGGAUUAGAUACCCUGGUAGUCCAUGCUGUAAACGAUGAGAACUGGAUGUGCGGAGGGCAAAGACCCUUUGCGUAUCGAAGCUAACGCGAUAAGUUUUCCGCCUGGGGAGUACGGUCGCAAGAUUA
rnacentral:rRNA from 1 species